rnacentral:rRNA from 1 species
UAUUAAAUACCAAUGUUUACAUCGAACCCUUCAUCAAUACUGAAUGACCCUAUAAAUUAUAGGAGACAUAAUGCUAGAACUAGUAACAAGAAAUUGACUUUCUCCGAAAUGCAAGUGUACGCCAAAACGGACCCACCAUUGGCAUUUACCGUGUUUGACCCUAAUAUAGUAACGCCCCUAGAAAAACCUAUUGUUCUUCACGUUAACCUAACACAAGAGCAUUACCGGAAAGAUUAAAAGAGAAAGAAGGAACUCGGCAAAUCUAAGCCCCGCCUGUUUACCAAAAACAUCGCCUCUUGAUAAGAUAUAAGAGGUCCAGCCUGCCCAGUGACAUAGUUAAACGGCCGCGGUACCCUGACCGUGCGAAGGUAGCAUAAUCACUUGUUCCUUAAAUAGGGACUUGUAUGAAAGGCAUCACGAGGGCUUUACUGUCUCCUUUCUCCAAUCAGUGAAACUGAUCUCCCCGUGAAGAAGCGGGGAUAUAAUUAUAAGACGAGAAGACCCCAUGGAGCUUUAAACCCAACGACACCCCUCAACCCCAUAAUCCUUUAUAGUUGCUACAGCCCUGUUCGUUGGUUUUAGGUUGGGGUGACCGCGGAGCAUAAAAUACCCUCCACGACGAAUGGGACUACCCCCUUACCCAAGAGCUACUCCUCUAAGGAUCAAUAAAUUGACGUAAAAUGAUCCAAGUAAUUGAUCAACGGACCAAGUUACCCUGGGGAUAACAGCGCAAUCCAUUUCAAGAGCCCCUAUCGACAAAUGGGUUUACGACCUCGAUGUUGGAUCAGGGUAUCCAAGUGGUGCAGCCGCUACUAAUGGUUUGUUUGUUCAACAAUUAAAA